rnacentral:rRNA from 1 species
AUGAACGCUGGCGGCGUGCCUAAUACAUGCAAGUCGCGCGAACAGACGAGGAGCUUGCUCCUCUGACGUUAGCGGCGGACGGGUGAGUAACACGUGGAUAACCUACCUAUAAGACUGGGAUAACUUCGGGAAACCGGAGCUAAUACCGGAUAAUAUAUUGAACCGCAUGGUUCAAUAGUGAAAGACGGUUUUGCUGUCACUUAUAGAUGGAUCCGCGCCGCAUUAGCUAGUUGGUAAGGUAACGGCUUACCAAGGCGACGAUGCGUAGCCGACCUGAGAGGGUGAUCGGCCACACUGGAACUGAGACACGGUCCAGACUCCUACGGGAGGCAGCAGUAGGGAAUCUUCCGCAAAGGGCGAAAGCCUGACGGAGCAACGCCGCGUGAGUGAUGAAGGUCUUCGGAUCGUAAAACUCUGUUAUUAGGGAAGAACAAAUGUGUAAGUAACUAUGCACGUCUUGACGGUACCUAAUCAGAAAGCCACGGCUAACUACGUG